UACAGAGGGGGCAAGCGUUAUUCGGAAUUAUUGGGCGUAAAGGGCGCGUAGGCGGCUUGGCAAGUGGAUGGUGAAAUCCCUCGGCUUAACUGAGGAACUGCCGUCCAAACUGCUUCGCUUGAGACCGGGAGAGGUGAGUGGAAUUCCCAGUGUAGCGGUGAAAUGCGUAGAUAUUGGGAGGAACACCAGUGGCGAAGGCGGUUGCCUGGGGCUUUGCUGACGCUGAUGCGCGAAAGCGUGGGGAGCGAUCCGG
rnacentral:rRNA from 1 species